AGCACAGGGGAUCUCUCCCCAGUGAGGGUGCGGCAUUGCAACUGGCCCACUGACUGCAGCCAGCUUGUCGGUUACGCUAAAGUUGUGUUUUCGCUAUAUUUUGCUCUGUUUCCGCAUUAGGUGAAAAGAUUUGGGAUUGUAUUUGGUAUGGAGCCAGGUGGAAGUGAGGAGGAGAAGAAUCUGGUACUUUAUUUUGUAUUUGCCUUUAAACUUCCUCACAUCAAUUUUAUCCAAGCUAGCCACCAUGGCAGCAGAUGCAGAACCUUCGCAAAUGAUACUGAAACCAAUUCGUACGAGUCAUAUAAAGGGCUUCGACAAUCCCAUAUUCCCAAUGCUCCUUUUUCUUCAUCAUCUUCUUUUCCUUGCAAUGUCUUUUGCAUCAUCUGGGUUUCAACAGUUCAGAUUUUAGUUGUUCAAAGGGAGUUUCAGACAUACACACACGCAGAGAGAGAGAGAGAGAGAGUUUUGACCCGAGCCGAAGAUGUUCGGGUCGUGUUGUUUAUUGUUGGCGGGUCGGGCCUAAACCCAGCUCGGAUUGACCGGGUUGUAGCCCUAGAACCAACAACAUUUCGAAGGUAUUGAACGCAUGCUACGGACCAUCACGGGUGUUCAUGUUCAUGGCAACAUUAAAUAGCAAUAUUGAUGGAGGUCGGGUCUCGGGACUGACCAUGUGGAGGUCAUGGUUACGUACCACUCCUUUCCAAAGGAGUAAAUCUACUCAUCUGCCGUCCUUUUCCUACUCCACACACCGUGGUGACAUGGCUUUUUUUUAAUUUUUUUUUUCCCUCCCUCUUACACAGUAAAACACACGUUUUAUUCGAACUAUAUUCCAAAUCCUUCCCAUUUCGAAUUUUUUCCCCUCCCCUGCAUUCUCCCUCCUCCUGCUUCGCCCCAAUGCCCUCCUUCACCCACGGCGUCCAGGUUACAUUUCUUGUCCUUGGAUAACGUCCGGCACCGUAUGGCCCAGCCGAAGACAACCGACCGACCGAACAAACUCAUACCGAGCUACAGUGAAGGAGAAAUGAAUGUAAAACUGCUGCAAGAUAUGCUACUGCAGAGCAUGAGCUCUCUCGAU